GCGCCGGUGGUGUAUCGGUAACAUUGGGUCUUCCCAUUCAGCUCUGUAGUAUUACGGAACUCGAAUGGCCUAGCACCGGGUUCGACUCCCGGCCGGCGCA